rnacentral:rRNA from 1 species
AUACGGGAGGCAGCAGUUAAGAAUCUUGCACAAUGGGCGAAAGCCUGAUGCAGCGACGCCGCGUGAACGAUGAAGGCCUUCGGGUUGUAAAGUUCAUUAAGUAGGGACGAAUAAGUAACAGGUAAUAUUUGUUGCGAUGACGGUACCUACCUGAAGCCCCGGCUAACUACGUGCCAGCAGCCGCGGUAAUACGUAUGGGGCAAGCGUUGUUCGGAAUUAUUGGGCAUAAAGGGCGUCUAGGCGGGGAAUUAAGUUAGGUGUGAAAGCCAUGGGCUCAACCCAUGAACUGCAUCUAAGACUGGUUCUCUUGAGUUCGGGAGAGGUAAGCGGAAUUCCAGGUGUAGCGGUGAAAUGCGUAGAUAUCUGGAAGAACACCAGUGGCGAAGGCGGCUUACUGGCCUAGAACUGACGCUGAAGCGCGAAAGCGUGGGGAGCGAACGGGAUUAGAUACCCUGGU